AUGCACAAUGGCUCCAACUGCAUCUGCCCUGCACGUCCCGGCCCUCCUGGCCCCAAGGGAGAGAAAGGUGACCGCGGGUUCCCCGGGGAGCGGGGCCAGCCGGGGCUGUCUGGGGAGAGAGGGAGGACGGGCAGCCCGGGGCCACCGGGUCACCAGGGGCCUCGGGGCCCCCCCGGACCACCAGGACCUCCAGGGCCACCAGGAUCACCGGGUGCUGGGGGAGCCAGGAGUCCACCCGCACCUGCAGCACUCCCCAAGGAAUCAGAGAGAGAGGUGAGAGAUGGGGAGGGGGCAUCUGGUGUGGGAGGCAUAGGUGGGUGAUGGAGGGAUGGGGGGGUGAUGGAGGGAUGGGUGGGCAGCACUGGAGAUACUGUGGGGUCCAUCCCCAGCUGGACCUGCAGGGACAGGCAGGGCAGGGACACAGAGCUGCAGAGGUGGAUAGGGGGACAUGACGGUGCCAUUCACCAACGCCACUUUCUCCUCUCUCCCUCCACCCUGACAGCUGGGAGCAGCCAGCCCCACCGGGAAGCCAGGACCCCCCGGCGCCCCAGGGCUGCCUGGCCCCCCUGGCCCCCCUGGCCCCCCAGGUUACCCAGGCCAUGAAGGCUCUCCAGGGCUCCCUGGGAGGGAGGGGAAGCCUGGGCCCCCCGGCCCACCAGGGGCCGUGGGACCACCUGGGUUCCCAGGGAGUGAAGGAGCUCCGGGAUCCCCAGGCUUGGCUGGGUCUGAUGGCCCCCCGGGAGCACCGGGACUCCCAGGCACACAGGGACCCCCCGGGGCACCCGGGCACGAAGGGCCCCCUGGCCCCCCAGGACCUGUGUCAUUCCCUGGCAAACCAGGGCUCCGAGGGGAGCCGGGAUUCCCAGGAUCAAAGGGUGAGAAGGGUGAGCAAGGGCUGCCGGGCAUGCCGGGGAGCCCUGGCCGCACCGGGGAGAUGGGAGCCCCAGGGAUGCCCGGUCCUAUGGGACCACCAGGGCCACCGGGGGACAACAGGUGUGAAAUGCGCCAUGCUGGGCACCAUGGAGCGGCCGGCCCACCAGGUCCCAAGGGUGAAAAGGGCGAUCCAGGAGAGCGGGGGUGCUGCUAUGGGGAGCCGGGCUGCAAACCGGGCCACCUCCCGUUCCCCAGCCCUGGCAGUCAGCCCAGCGCCUGGUACCAACAGCACAGCAAGGAGGAGCCGGAUAUCUACGGAGCAAUCAUUCCCCACGUGAGAGAUUGUGCCCAGCAUGACAUAGAGCCACCCACCCCAGGAGAGGCACCAUACCACCCCAAAUCCCCACACUGCUCUUCCUGCAGGGUCCCCGAGGUCCCCCCGGCCCCCCUGGUCCCCCUGGUCCCCCCGGAGCACCAGGACUCCUCUACUUCAAUCGGGUGUACCCCACGCGAGGACAGCAGCCCUGCAAGCAGCCGGCAGCGGCCAGCGCAGGCUGGGCAGUGGCUUCUCCAGAUGCUGAUGUUCCCCACUCGGAGCCGCUGGAGCCCAGCGCUGACUUCCGGCGCCAGACGUGGGUGUUCAGGUCGAAGGAGCUGA
rnacentral:lncRNA from 7 species